rnacentral:rRNA from 1 species
UGCCAGCCGCCGCGGUAAUACGGAGGGGGUUAGCGUUGUUCGGAAUUACUGGGCGUAAAGCGUACGUAGGCGGAUUAAUAAGUUAGAGGUGAAAUCCCAGGGCUCAACCUGGGAACUGCAUUUGAAACUGGUAAACUAGAGUAUGGUAGAGGAAAGUGGAAUUUCUGGUGUAGCGGUGAAAUGCGUAGAUAUCAGAAGGAACAUCAAUGGCGAAGGCAGCUUUCUGGACCAAUACUGACACUGAGGUACGAAAGCGUGGGUAGCAAACAGGAUUAGAUA